rnacentral:rRNA from 1 species
UACGAAGGGUGCAAGCGUUACUCGGAAUUACUGGGCGUAAAGGGUGCGUAGGUGGUUCUUUAAGUCUGCUGUGAAAGCCCCGGGCUCAACCUGGGAAUGGCAGUGGAUACUGGAGAGCUAGAGUGCGGUAGAGGGUAGUGGAAUUCCCGGUGUAGCAGUGAAAUGCGUAGAGAUCGGGAGGAACACCGGUGGCGAAGGCGGCUACCUGGACCAGCACUGACACUGAAGCACGAAAGCUAGGGGAGCAAACAGG